rnacentral:rRNA from 1 species
GUGUCAGCCGCCGCGGUAAGACGAAGGGGGCUAGCGUUGUUCGGAAUUACUGGGCGUAAAGCGCGCGCAGGCGGUUUUUCAAGUCAGUGGUGAAAGCCCGGAGCUCAACUCCGGAACUGCCAUUGAUACUGGAGAUCUUGAGUCCGGGAGAGGUGAGUGGAACUCCGAGUGUAGAGGUGAAAUUCGUAGAUAUUGGGAAGAACACCGGUGGCGAAGGCGGCUCACUGGCUCGUUUCUGACGCUCAGGCGCGACAGCGUGGGGAUCAAGCAGGAUUAGAUACCCUGGUAGUCC